CCUACGGGUGGCAGCAGUAGGGAAUUUUCGUCAAUGGGCGCAAGCCUGAACGAGCGAUGCCGCGUGAGUGAAGAAGGCCUUCGGGUCGUAAAGCUCUGUUGCGGGGGAAAAAAGGCAGCAUCAGGAAAUGGGUGCUGACUGAUGGUGCCCCGCCAGAAAGUCAUGGCUAACUACGUGCCAGCAGCCGCGGUAAUACGUAGGUGGCGAGCGUUAUCCGGAAUGGUUGGGCGUAAAGGGUGCGCAGGCGGUCCUGCAAGUCUGGAGUGAAACGGAUGAGCUCAACUCAUGCAUGGCUUUGGAAACUGGGGGACUGGAGAGCGGGAGAGGGCGGUGGAACUCCAUGUGUAGCGGUAAAAUGCGUAGAUAUAUGGAAGAACACCAGUGGCGAAGGCGGCCGACUGGCCUGUUGCUGACGCUGAGGCACGAAAGCGUGGGGAGCAAAUAGGAUUAGAUACCCUGGUAGUC
rnacentral:rRNA from 1 species